GCCCCCAGCCCGAGACUUGGAGGCGUCCGACCCCUGAGCGAGCGCCCUUUUGCACCCCUCUCCAAGGAGGGUCCGCGGGGUUCUGCAGGGGCGAGUUUCGGUGUCUAAAGCCUUCCUUUUCCCAUGAUGUGCGCAUAGGAAGCCUUCUGCGUAACCUUACCUCUGAGACCUAGUUAUCAGUUGCCAAAACCCAGCCAUAAGGAUGUCAUUCCAUGGACCAUAUCUUAGAGGUUUUCACUUACAAAGCAUCCCUUGGAGUACCCUGCUCAGAGACUGGCACAAAGGGAGUGGGUAUCGUUGAACAGGAAAAAAUAAGAUCCUGUUGGAGCUUUGGCCCUGAUGACUUAUGCGUCUGGAACGUUCCAUGGGAUGGAGAACGGCCAGGCAGGGUGGACUGCUGAGGACAGAGAGCUGACCCAACAGACACCUGAUCUGACAGGAGCAAGUCCUGCAGAACCCGCGCUGGAGAGAUUUUGGCGAUCACCCAGCCGCAGUUCACCACCCUGGCUGCACCUAGACACACCUGGGAGCUUAAAAAAAUAUUCGUUUCUGGAUUCCAUCCCUGGGGGUUUAAUUCAAGUGGUCUGGGGUAGAACUCCUUCUGAAGUUCUAUGAGAAAGAAGAGCUAAAUGUCACCCAUGACUGCAGACGUCCCUGGGGCCUCAAAGUCAGUGCAAGAGAUGAAACAGCACCUGCAGGCUGAACAGAGACAGCCUUAGGGGCUUCCCUGGUGGCGCAGUGGUUGAGAAUCUGCCUGCCAAUGCAGGGGACACGGGUUCAAGCCCUGGUCUGGGAAGAUCCCACAUGCCGCAGAGCAACUAAGCCCGUGAGCCACAAAUUACUGAGCCUGCGCGUCUGGAGCCUGUGCUCCACAACAAGAGAGGCCACGAUAGUGAGAGGCCCGCGCACCGCGAUGAAGAGUGGCCCCCACUUGCCGCAACUGGAGAAAGCCCUCGCAUAGAAACGAAGACCCAACACAGCAAAAAUAAAUAAAUAAAUAAAUUUAUUUUAAAAAAAUCA